CUUGAACACUACCUAGCAUCAAAAAGGAAGGAGCAGAAAAGUGCAGAGAGACUUUUUUUCUCCAAUUGACCUCAAUAAAAGACAGAACGACCAUUGCAACAGUCCAAGGGGGAAGGUGAUCUGCUACUGUAGAGAAAGGAGGGGUGCGUCACUUGAGUGGGUUGAGUCACUGAUGUGAUCUUCCGGUCUGGAUUGGCGCCCCCCCUUGGUUUGUGCCGUGGCGGAGAUCUUUGUGGGCUAUACUCGGCCUUGUCUCAGGAUGGUAAGUUGGUGGUUGAAGAUAUCCCUCUAGUGGUGUGGGGGCUGUGCUUUGGCAAAGUGGGUGAGGUUAUAUCCUUCCUGUUUGGCCCUGUCCGGGGGUAUCAUCGGAUGGGGCCACAGUGUUUCCUGACCCCUCCUGUCUCAGCCUCCAGUAUUUAUGCUGCAGUAGUUUAUGUGUUGGGGGGCUAGGGUCAGUUUGUUAUAUCUGGAGGACUUCUCCUGUCUUAUCCGGUGUCCUGUGUGAACUUAAGUAUGCUCUCUCUAAUUCUCUCCUUCUCUCUUUCUUUCUCUCUCUUUCUUUCUCUCUCUCGGAGGACCUGAGCCCUAGAACCAUGCGUCAGGACUACCUGGCAUGAUGACUCCUUGCUGUCCCCACUCCACCUGGCCUUGCUGCUGCUCCAGUUUCAACUGUUCUGCCUGCGGCUAUGGAACCCUGACCUGUUCACCGGACGUGCUACCUGUCCCAGACCUGCUGUUUUCAACUCUCUAGAGACCGCAGGAGCGGUAGAGAUACUCUUAAUGAUCGGCUAUGAAAAGCCAACUGACAUUGACUCCUGAGGUGCUGACUUGCUGCACCCUCGAUAACUACUGUGAUUAUUAUUAUUUGACCAUGCUGCUCAUUUAUGAACAUUUGAACAUCUUGGCCAUGUUCUGUUAUAAUCUCCACCCGGCACAGCCAGAAGAGGACUGGCCACCCCUCAUAGCCUGGUUCCUCUCUAGGUUUCUUCCUAGGUUUUGGCCUUUCUAGGGAGUUUUUCCUAGCCACCGUGCUUUUACACCUGCAUUGCUUACUGUUUGGGGUUUUAGGCUGGGUUUCUGUACAGCACUUUGAGAUAUCAGCUGAUGUACGAAGGGCCAUAUAAAUACAUUUGAUUUGAAUUAAGAAAUACUUAAAAUACUGUCAAGUCAUGGCUGUCGUUAAAUGCUGUUCAGUUGAACUAAUGGGUGAAAUUAAGCUAUCAUGUUCAUGUCAUCAUUUAAAGGAAGGAUAAUGUUGAAAAAGAAAUUCAAGAUCACGUAUUACCUGAUUAUCUUCACCUGUUUUCUAUACGUAUUAUAUUAUGUGCACUGUGGAAAUACCAAAUGGACAUACCAUAUGUACCUUUGAGGAGAGAAAUGUCAACAUCCUAUUCACCAGCAUGUGCAGACAAUAUUGUGAGGCAAGAAUGUGGUCAGAUUGUAAUAAACCUCACAGAGGGUCUC